rnacentral:pre_miRNA from 1 species
GCAACAUUGGGACCGCCGGUCUACCGAGCAAUAUCACCAAAUCGGUGGAAGAUCUUCCCCUUCGUCGU